UUUUGGAGUUACCCUUAUGGGUGCAGGAUGCUUUUCCAUCCUGCUCUCAUAAAAAAAUAUAAUCUGUUAUUUUAAAUAUUUUAACACUAUUUAAUUCUUUUUAAACUAGUCUCAGUUACAAUUUUUUUUUCAAAUAAAUAAUUUACACUUCAAAAUAUUUAAUUACAACUAUUAUUACUGACUCCAAAAAAUGAUGUCAUUACGAAACUGAUCCUUUUUUCUCGACCGUAAGUGAAAAGACUCUUUAAGGUACAGAAGUGUUGCUCCAAGGUUACGCUAGAGAUCAUAAUAUCAUCAAGAUAAGUGCCUUUUUUGUUGACGUAGUGUUGACGAAAUGUUAAAAUUUCGAAGGAGCAACCUCAAGCCCCAAGGGAACCGUAAGAUAUUCUAACUGGAACUUGCAUAGUAAAGCUUGUAUAGUUGAUCCGCAAUGAGAGAAUAUUUACCGAUGUUUUGGGAAGCAGCUUUAGAUACUUAAGCUGUUUUACCGGCCACUGAAACAUUCCCUGAUGUCACAACAAUAUUAUGCACCGCACCUGCAAUUAUUAUAAGCAUUGCAAAUGUUUAUUCUACAAUUGCUAAUCUACAAUGUUUCAGAGAACUUUUGGUCAUGGGGGCUAAAGCCGUUCUUUUCUAUCCGUGUACCCGCCCUGGAACCUGAGGAAGACCUCUGAACGUCUCCACGGUCCUUAUCAGGGCUACCACCACGUCCGCCGAACUUCAACCAUCCUAUGAGGAUUAUCCUCGUUGCCAGCACCACGCCAAGGGCUGGUUACGAUCAACGAUUUAUAAGUAAAGAAGAAGGUCAGUCCUCCAAUUCGUCUACUUGCUUGCAAGAAUCCUCACUUUUCCAUCAAAAGCUGUACUCAACAAUUAAGUCGAUUUCAAAAAAAUGAGAUCUUUAUUAGAAAGAAAUGCCUGAAUACUCGCACAUCAUGCCGGACAUUGUAGCCCUAAUUAAUUGGGAACUAGGGGACCUUACAAUCAGCGAACUAAGAAAAGUGAUACUGCCAUCGAUCGCCAUAAAGAGUACAAACUGAUGAUGGAUGAAACAGAUGCAGAUGCUACAGUUAUUGCGGCUUUCGUGGACUCGAAACCAAGUUAAUUACGGAAGAUGACUAAUAUUUCUUCAAAAAACUGAAUUCCACAAUUGAAUUGGCGAGCAACCUAGACGAGUAUACACACUUAAUCUUUGACACCCGAGUGCUAACAGAACAGGUCUUUGAUCUCGAAGAAAGCACAGCAUAUAUGCAAGAAUUAAAGAUUUCUGGGAGAUUGGAACCAAUAUGUUUACCAACAGCGUUAGUGACUUGUUCAAAAAAGUAAGCAAUCCAAUAACGUCAACCUGAAGUUUACAGUGUUGUGUUUUUUGGAAAAAGUGUUAGUGUUUACUAAAAAAAGCAUUUUGCAUUUUCCAUGA